rnacentral:snRNA from 1 species
CAACUAUUUUUUUCGAGAUAUUC